AGAGUUUGAUCCUGGCUCAGAACGAACGGUGGCGGUGUGCUUACUACAUGCAAGUCGAGCGGGCCACGGGGGCAACUUCGUGGUUUAGCGGCGGACGGGUGAGUAAUGUAUGGAUAACCUGCCCUGGAGCGGGGGAUAACAGUUCGAAAGGACUGCUAAUACCGCAUAAAGUCGGACGCUCGCAUGGGCGACCGAUGAAAGGGGGGGACCACUUCGGUGGCCUCUCGCUCGAGGAGGGGUCCAUAUCCUAUUAGCUUGUUGGUGGGGUAAGAGCCUACCAAGGCAGUGAUGGGUAGCCGGCCUGAGAGGGUGAACGGCCACACGGGCACUGAGACACGGGCCCGACUCCUACGGGAGGCAGCAGUAGGGAAUCUUGGGCAAUGGGGGAAACCCUGACCCAGCGACACCGCGUGGAUGAAGAAGGCCUUCGGGUUGUAAAAUCCUAACACAUAUUAAGAAGGCGAUAUAAUCCAAUAUAUUAUAUUGUCGGACGAAGGUAUGGGAUGAAGCCAUGGCUAACUCUGUGCCAGCAGCCGCGGUAAUACAGAGAUGGCAACCGUUGUUCGGAAUCACUGGGCUUAAAGCGCACGUAGGCGGAUACGUAAGUCGGUUGUGAAAUCCCAUGACUUACUCGUGGGUUGUCAACCGAAACUGCGUAUCUGGAGGCCGGUAGGGGAGAGUGGAAUUCCUGGUGGAGCGGUGAAAUGCGUUGAUAUCAGGAGGAACGCCGGAGGCGAAGGCGACUCUCUGGGCCGGUCCUGACGCUGAGGUGCGAAAGCUAGGGGAGCAAACGGGAUUAGAUACCCCGGUAGUCCUAGCCGUAAACGAUGGGUACUAAGUAGGGGGAGCAAUCUCUCUGCCGGAGCAAAAGUGUUAAGUACCCCGCCUGGGGAGUAUGGUCGCAAGGCUGAAACUCAAAGGAAUUGACGGGGGCUCGCACAAGCGGUGGAGCAUGUGGUUUAAUUCGAAUCAACGCGAAGAACCUUACCUGGGCUUGACAUUGCGGGAUUAUCUGCCUGAAAGGGUGGAGACGCUACUUCGGUAGUGGAACCGUAACAGGUGUUGCAUGGCUGUCGUCAGCUCGUGCCGUGAGGUGUUGGGUUAAGUCCCAUAACGAGCGAAACCUUUGUCCUUAGUUGCCAGCGGGUAAUGCCGGGGACUCUAAGGAGACUGCAGACGUUAAGUCUGAGGAAGGUGGAGACGACGUCAAGUCAUCAUGGCCCUUAUGCCCAGGGCUACACACGUGCUACAAUGGUCGGUACAAUGGGAAGCGAGGCCGCAAGGUGGAGCAAAUCCCAAAAAAACCGAUCUCAGUUCGGAUUGUGGGCUGCAAUUCGCCCACAUGAAGCUGGAAUCGCUAGUAAUCGUGGGUCAGCCUUACCACGGUGAAUGUGUUCCCGAGCCUUGUACACACCGCCCGUCAAGCCACCGAAGCAGGGGUGGCCUGAAGUCACUGACCCAACCCUUCGGGGAGGGAGGUGCCCAAGGAAACCUUUGUGACGGGGACUAAGUCGAAACAAGGUA
rnacentral:rRNA from 1 species